GGGGGCGCACCGGUUUCGACCGGGGUUUGGAUGCUCCGGGUCGCGUGCCGGGGAUCUCGAGCCUCCCCGUAAAAUCCAGCUCGGGACGGCCUAAACAGCCAAUGAUUUUGCUCUCGCUGCCUAAGUAACUAGGUAGCCGUCCCCGCGGGGUUCGCCCGCGGUUCCGUGGGGACGCCAACAGCGGGCUGGCCACGAGAGCUCCACCCCGGGGCGAUCGAGCGAGAAGUACCGGGGCAUGCCGACCGAGGGCAAGCGUGGGAGCGCGAGGCCGGCGAGAACCAAACCCACGCUACGCACGUAGACGCUCGGUCCGGAUGGACCCUGGCACGCGGGUUCGAUUCCCGCCGCCUCCACCA
rnacentral:tmRNA from 1 species